AACGAACGCUGGCGGUGCGUUUUAAGCUUGCAAGUCGAACGGCAGGAAGGUGCUUGCACUUUCCUAGAGUGGCGGACUGGUGAGUAACGCGUAGGUGAUCUACCUUUAAGACUGGGACAGCCUUUAGAAAUAAGGGGUAAUACCGGAUGUGCUUAUUAUGUUUUGACGUAGUAAGGGAAGGAGCGUUUGCUCCGCUUAGAGAUGAGCCUGCGUCCCAUUAGCUAGUUGGUAAGGUAACGGCCUACCAAGGCGAUGAUGGGUAUCCGACCUGAGAGGGUGAUCGGACACAUUGGGACUGAGAUACGGCCCAAACUCCUACGGGAGGCAGCAGCUGAGAAUCUUCCGCAAUGGACGAAAGUCGGACGGAGCGACACCGCGUGAAUGAUGAAGGCCGAAGGGUUGUAAAGUUCUUUUGCAGACAAAGAAUAAGGAUAGAAGGAACAUGUCUAUUUAAUGACGGUAGUCAUGCGAAUAAGCCCCGGCUAAUUACGUGCCAGCAGCCGCGGUAAUACGUAAGGGGCGAGCGUUGCUCGGAAUUAUUGGGCGUAAAGGGCAUGUAGGCGGUUGGGUAAGCCUGAUGUGAAAUCUACGAGCUUAACUCGUAAACUGCAUUGGGUACUGCUCAUCUUGAAUCAUAGAGGGGGAACUGGAAUUCCAAGUGUAGGGGUGGAAUCUGUAGAUAUUUGGAAGAACACCGGUGGCGAAGGCGGGUUCCUAGCUAAUGAUUGACGCUGAUGUGCGAAGGUGCGGGGAGCAAACAGGAUUAGAUACCCUGGUAGUCCGCUCAGUAAACGAUGUACACUAGGUGUUGGGGUAAAACUCAGUGCCGGCGCAAACGCAAUAAGUGUACCGCCUGGGGAGUAUGCCCGCAAGGGUGAAACUCAAAGGAAUAGACGGGGGCCCACACAAGCGGUGGAGCAUGUGGUUAAUGCGAUGAUACGCGAGGAACCUUACCUGGGUUUGACAUCAAGAGGGAUACUAUCCAGAUAUGGUAGCGUAGCAAUACGUCUCUGGACAGGUGCAGCAUGGCUGUCGUCAGCUCGUGCCGUGACGUGUUGGGAUUAGUUCCGCCACGAGCGCAUCCCUACUGCCAGUUACUAGCAGGGUAUGCUGAUGACUCUUGCGGAACUGCCCGGUGAUUACCCGAAGAAGGGUGGGGAUUCGUCAG
rnacentral:rRNA from 1 species